AUGAAACCACCGAGCUCCUUCCUGUCAGGGCAUGAGAAAGCUGUAAAUUGUGGUAAAAGCUAUUGUUUUAGUCACUGUCAUCACAAAUUGAGGGAAAAGAAAGCUCCACAAAGGGACAUCCAUGUCUGCCUUCAGAGAGGAAAUGGAGAUGCAGUCAUUCCCUGUGGAUCCGCAGGCUGGGUGAGGGCACAGCAGGGCUGGGGGCAGUGCCCUGGAGUGGAGGCUCAGUGCCCACUCCCAGGGCUGGGCAGUGCAGGGGGCGAGGGAGGCUCGGUGUGGUCCCCGUGCCAGCUGUGCCACGGCUUUGGGACAGGAGCUGGCAUGGGGUGUCCCACCAGGAGCAGGCAGCAUUUCCAGAGGGUGACAGUGCCCAGUUUGGUGCCAGCUGUGCCACAGUGUCACAGGAGGCUGGCAUGGGGUGUCCCGCCAGGAGCAGGCAGCAUUUCCAGAGGGUGACAGUGCCCAGCCCCAGCGAGGAUCAGCUUCCCUCCCUCGGCAGUGAGUGGCAGCGUAAGGAGCUGUUUCGGCAGGAACACGAGCUCACGUGCCUGGGGUUUGUGGCAGACUGGAAAGGCUCUCCUCAGCAGCAACCAGAAAACACAGCUCUGCCCACGUGGAGUUCCACACCGUGCAUGGAGCUGUCAAAACACUUCCCACAGCUGAGACCUGGAGGACACAGAAACUCUGCUGCUCCCAGAGCCUUUACUGGAGCAAACAAUGCUGUGUGCUGCGCUUACAGUAACUACAAACAUCAAACAUCUUGCCUUUCUUCUCCUUCCACAGAUUUUCCAAACUGCAAAUGGUGAAUCAGCAGAUAACUCCUCAGAUGGAAAUCUGGCAGCUUUGUUGCAUCUGUCUGUAGCUUUACAAGGAUAAGUUUGCUCAUGGGGGCUGAGGAGGUGAAUGUGGAAGGACAGCUGGGUCAGUCUGCAAGUGAUGCUGAUGGAACAGAGGGUGUUCUGUCACUGGGCUCAGAGGAUUUGAGAUUGCUGCGUUUGCAGCAGGGAUCAGGGCUACACUCAGGCAAAAUCCCAGCCCUGGGAUCAGGCUAUAUCCUUGUGCUGCUCUGCCUUGGGUGCCAUCUACAUUAAUUCAAAAGCUGGUUUUUGUCCUGCACGACACAGAUUGCAGGAGCAGAUUCCCUUGGGUUUUCAGCCACCGUGUGUCCAAACAAUGUCUCCAAAUUUUUGGGUGAUGAUUUCAAAAUAUUCCAAGCCUAAUUCCAGUGAUUCAUUUUGUGGUUGUUCAACAUGAAAUGCCCUCAGGUGUCAGAUUUCCAGAGGGGUUAAACACUCACAACUCAAACGAUUCAGUAGCUCUAAAAUACUGUUACAAAACCAUGGGAAGAUCAUAUUUAACCUAGAGAAAUUCAGCAAGACAUUUCUGAGCUAACUAUGCAUCAUCCCUUCUAAUAAAGGAAGGAUCUUUUAGACCA
rnacentral:lncRNA from 1 species